UACGGAGGGUGCGAGCGUUGUCCGGAAUCAUUGGGCGUAAAGGGCGCGUAGGCGGUUCAUACAGUCAGAUGUGAAAUUCCCGGGCUUAACCUGGGGGCUGCAUUUGAUACGUGUGGGCUUGAGUGAGGAAGAGGGUUGUGGAAUUCCCAGUGUAGAGGUGAAAUUCGUAGAUAUUGGGAAGAACACCGGUGGCGAAGGCGGCAACCUGGUCCUUUACUGACGCUGAGGCGCGAAAGCGUGGGGAGCAAACAGG
rnacentral:rRNA from 1 species